rnacentral:rRNA from 1 species
UCCUACGGGAGGCAGCAGUGGGGAAUUUUGGACAAUGGGCGCAAGCCUGAUCCAGCCAUGCCGCGUGCAGGAUGAAGGCCUUCGGGUUGUAAACUGCUUUUGUACGGAACGAAAAGACUCUGGUUAAUACCUGGGGUCCAUGACGGUACCGUAAGAAUAAGCACCGGCUAACUACGUGCCAGCAGCCGCGGUAAUACGUAGGGUGCGAGCGUUAAUCGGAAUUACUGGGCGUAAAGCGUGCGCAGGCGGUUAUAUAAGACAGAUGUGAAAUCCCCGGGCUCAACCUGGGAACUGCAUUUGUGACUGUAUAGCUAGAGUACGGCAGAGGGGGAUGGAAUUCCGCGUGUAGCAGUGAAAUGCGUAGAUAUGCGGAGGAACACCGAUGGCGAAGGCAAUCCCCUGGGCCUGUACUGACGCUCAUGCACGAAAGCGUGGGGAGCAAACAGGAUUAGAUACCCUGGUAGUCCACGCCCUAAACGAUGUCAACUGGUUGUUGGGUCUUCACUGACUCAGUAACGAAGCUAAGCG